AAAGAAUCAUCUUGUAAUGAAACCGAGGAAGUGGGGGAAGACAGGCAGGGAUAUGUGUUAUUGAGUGAGGAAGCUUACUCCUAGCUCUUCUUCGAUCUCUAGAGAAGUUCUUGUAGCCGAGGCAGCAUCUAUAGCUACACUGAUUCGAGNCGGAUCAAUCUUCCUUACCAACCCCGGUUCAACCUAGCACGACCAGUACAAAUGCCCUAGUUCGACUCAGGUCUCGCUAUCGCUUUAUGGUGGCACCAUGCAAAGGUUAGAAUGAGAGUGCCCCUUGCUCCUUAGCCCUUUACCGGACUCCCCUACGUACCAGCAGACUGAAGUUAUCCAGGCGGGCCUUCUUCGCUCCCCUUUUAACAAAGCCAUCGACAUUCUUUUGGUCAACGGCCCCCAUUUCUUCCCAAUGAUCUUCCCUUUCUGUUGGGCGCUUACAUCAAUCAGUCGAUACUAAGCCAAGAGCUUUUCAAGGAGNN
rnacentral:lncRNA from 1 species